GAUGAACGCUGGCGGCGUGCUUAGCACAUGCAAGUCGAACGAUGAAGCCCAGCUUGCUGGGUGGAUUAGUGGCGAACGGGUGAGUAACACGCGAGUAACCUGCCCUUGACUCUGGGAUAAGCCUGGGAGACUGGGUCUAAUACUGGAUAUGACUUCUCAUCGCAUGGUGGGGGGUGGAAAGAUUUAUUGGUCUUGGAUGGACUCGCGGCCUAUCAGCUUGUUGGUGAGGUAAUGGCUCACCAAGGGGACGACGGGUAGCCGGCAUGAGAGGGUGAACGGCGUCCAGACGACUGAGACACGGAGCAGAAUCCAACGGGACGCAACGGUCGAGAAUAUUACGGAAUGAGGGCAAGCGUGAUACAGCGGCGCUCGGUGCGGGAUGCCGGGUUACGGGUUGUAAACAACUUUGUGUAGAGAUGUAGAGGGCGUGACGGUACCUGAAGAAAAAGCGACGGCUAACUACGUG
rnacentral:rRNA from 1 species